rnacentral:rRNA from 1 species
GACGAACGCUGGCGGCGUGCCUAAUACAUGCAAGUCGAGCGAAUGACGAGAAGCUUGCUUCUCUGAUUUAGCGGCGGACGGGUGAGUAACACGUGGGCAACCUGCCCUACAGAUCGGGAUAACUCAGGGAAACCUGGGCUAAUACCGGAUACUCCUUCGAAUCACAUGUUGUGAAGCUGAACGGCGCUUCGGCGUCACUGUAGGAUGGUCCAGGGGUGCAUUAGCUAGUUGGUGGGGUAACGGCCUACCAAGGCAACGAUGCAUAGCCGGUCUGAGAGGAUGAUCGGCUACAUUGGGACUGAGACACGGCCCAAACUCCUACGGGAGGCAGCAGUAGGGAAUCUUCCACAAUGGACGAAAGUCUGAUGGAGCAACGCCGCGUGAGUGAUGAAGGUUUUCGGAUUGUAAAACUCUGUUGUAAGGGAAGAACAAGUACGUUAGGAAAUGAACGUACCUUGACGGUACCUUAUUAGAAAGCCACGGCUAACUACGUGCCAGCAGCCGCCGUAA